AGUGAACGCUGGCAGUAGGCCUAACACAUGCAAGUCGAACGGCAGCACAGUAAGAGCUUGCUCUUACGGGUGGCGAGUGGCGGACGGGUGAGGAAUACAUCGGAAUCUACUUUUUCGUGGGGGAUAACGUAGGGAAACUUACGCUAAUACCGCAUACGACCUACGGGUGAAAGCAGGGGAUCUUCGGACCUUGCGCGAUUGAAUGAGCCGAUGUCGGAUUAGCUAGUUGGCGGGGUAAAGGCCCACCAAGGCGACGAUCCGCAGCUGGUCUGAGAGGAUGAUCAGCCACACUGGAACUGAGACACGGUCCAGACUCCUACGGGAGGCAGCAGUGGGGAAUAUUGGACAAUGGGCGCAAGCCUGAUCCAGCCAUACCGCGUGGGUGAAGAAGGCCUUCGGGUUGUAAAGCCCUUUUGUUGGGAAAGAAAAGCAGCAGGUUAAUACCCCGCUGUUCUGACGGUACCCAAAGAAUAAGCACCGGCUAACUUCGUG
rnacentral:rRNA from 1 species